rnacentral:lncRNA from 1 species
CCCAAAGUGCUGGCUACUUCUUCUUUAGAGUACAACCUAUGGGCUCUUUGACAGCUGUUUUUAGAUUCAGCUGUCAAAGGCUGAAUCUAAAAGGCCCUUUUAACGUCUCUGGGUUUGCGUCUGUGCUCCAAGUGGAGCAGAUUAUUUUAGAAUUGCACUGAAUCAACAAAAGACAAUGCAUGUAAAUGUGUCUACCACAUAGAGGAGGCAACAUGUUUGGUGAUAUAAGUUAUAGAAGUUUCAUCUGCCUUUUCUGCCUUCCUGUGUCUGUUUUGCUUUUUUCUGAUCAUUGUAUCUGUUAAAGUUCCUUCCGGGAAGAACAGCGGGAGCUGAGUAUCUCCUGGGGUUUUGCCACUGGAGCAUCCCAGGAGCCACUGAAAUGAGAGGGCCCCUGAUGCAGACAGGGAGAUGACAGAGAGCUUGGCACUGAGCCGUGCAGCAAGCAGGCUCAGGCAGAGAAUGUGCAGGCAGGAGCCCCCGACAGGAGGCCAGUAAAGAGCACCGGCUUCUGAAGAAGGAAAAUUGAGAAGAGCUUGUGCUGAAGAAGUUGGAACCAGUCAUGCUAGUGAGCCGGACUGAGAUUUCUGAAAGACAGUAAAAAAAAAAAAAAUGCAAGUGUGCACCUUCUUCUGAGUACUUCCAAGGUAACUAGAGCCGCUGUAAAACACUAGUGCUUUUCCUCUGUAUCCCCAGUAAAAGGAGAAUCCAGCCCUAGUUGCCUUCCUGGGGGAGGAACUUUUGAAUGCAGGAGGUGGAGGUGAUAUUUCAGGACUUAGCAUUUGGCAAACAGUUGGCUCCAGAGCCCAACAUUGCUUCUGGCCUCAGGAAAAUGCUGGAUGGAGAGAGUCUCCAGCAUUGGCCAGCAUGGCAUUACUCAGGGAAUUUCCUUGUUUCUUUUCUUUUUCUGUUUGGUGGCCAAACUGUUGGAAGAGGAUAAUCUUCUCAUCUUGUUUCUUUCAGUCCCGAAUUUAUUAAUCACUUUAAAUGGUUAUAACUCCCCCAGUUUUAUUUGAACUCUUCAGCUUUCUUUUUAAAAAGUAUUUUGCUUCUUUCUCUGGGCUGGCCCUGUGUCUUUUUGUCUCACUCUAUUUCUUGCUGUUUGUUUCCAUGUCUCAUGGCCCAAUUCCAUUUUGUAUCUCUCUGUAUUUGCUCAUAAAGCUCUGUCUUUAAUUGUCUGUCUGUCUUUUUCUUUCCUUUCUCCUGGGUCAGGCAGGAAGUUAAGGCAGACAGACAGCUGGUCCUUUUCUUUAUUUGGAAUAAAAAAUGGCUUUGGUGGCUGAUGACAGGCAACUUGGGCUUAUAUGAUCCUGGGAAGCCGCAGCAGCAGGACAAGAGGGGGAGCUUUUCCAUCCUGCCUCCAGGUCUCAUUUUCACAGGGACAUUUCCUACCAGGAAGGAGCCUUGGAGAUGAAGCUGGAUUUUCCAUCCAGAGUCUUCCGAGGCACUUAGUUCUUCUUUGAGGGGUUCAAGUGGUCCAGCUCCAAGUGUGUGUGGUGGGGAGAGGACCACUCCUAGGUUAUCAGCCUUGGGCUAGGUCUGGGAGGGAUAGAACUGUAAAGGACACCAGCCCUGUUUCUGAGGACAUGGAAAGACUUUCUCCUCAAUUUGGCAUUUAACACCCUUCAUGAGUUGGCCUCAGCCUGUCCCCUACUGUUCCCCUCACACCUUGUUCUAGUGUCUGAGUUUCUGGCUGCCUCCAUGGUUCUGGUUCUUCCUAAUGUGCACUGGUACAAGCUCUGUCCUCUGACACUCUUGUCAACUGCGGCAAACUCCUGUUCAUCCACUGGUUCCAACUCAGACGCCACCUCCUCUGUGAAGUCUCUCCCAACUCCAGGGAGAGUUACUUACUCUCUUCUGAGUAGAUGUUCUUGCCUUUAUUGUCCUCCCAUGGUCUUAUAAUUGUCUACUUAGGUGCCUGUCUUCCCUCUAGACUGUGAUCUCUUUGAAGGCAAGCAUGAUGCCUUAUUUAUUAUAUCCUUAAUAUCUGGCAACUAGUAAGAGGUUAAUGCUUGUGGAAUAAGAACUAGGAAAAACAAUUUUAGGAGUUAUAUGAUCAACACUAAGCUGUGUGCUGAAACUGUGAGUGCUGUCGGACCUUGGAGAAGAAGGGGAGGGGUUAGCAUGGGGUUUGAGGGAGACCAAUGCCUCCUUCUGCAUGUGUACCCCACACUUGCAACAGAAGGUCAGUGGGACAGAAACAGUGGCAUCACCCAGUGCUUGCUGGAGUCCAAAGUGCCCGGUUUGGGGAAUGGAAUUUCUAAUGUGUUUCUUUUCCUGUGAUCUAUCUCCCCUGCCAAUGCUGCUCCUUGGAAGACCAGGACCAGAGACCAUGCUGGGAAGCCUGGCUGCUCUUUGAGGACUGAGAUGAACUUAGCAAUGCAGAGAAGAACAAAGAGAGGCUUGUGCUCACCGUGUUCCAGAGGGAUCACCGUGUUCCCUUUGUUCAUUUGAGGACAUGAAUACAACUAUGGUCUUUGGACAAAAGGCAUAUGCCAGGCAGUAUGAAUGGUCUCUCUUGUCUGUGCAAUUAGUAUGUAAGAGCACGUGAACUGGUGCCUGGGACCUCUACCUGUUUUAGUAUGAUAGCACCACAGUAAAGGGCCUGGACUUUGUAUGAGCUUGGGAAAAUCAUGUCACCUCUGCAAGUCUUGGUUUCCCUGGGUGUUAAAUGUCAAUUUAAGUAAAAUGCUAUCUACUUUGUUUUGGAGACUUUCUAUGAGAAUCUGAUAAACUAUAACCUGUGAAAGAGUUUCAAAAGUUGUAAAAGAUUGAAGGGUGAGUAUACGGUGCAUGAUCCUUUACAGGGUUCUUGAAAAUGCAGUUACUCCAAGGGGCAGUGCUAGCAGAAGCUCAUAGCUCAUUCUCCUGAUUAGAAAACCUUUUUGGGGAAAGGGCUCAGGUUUAUUUCUGGUUCUAACAUGCUCAGUUUAAUGCAACAUAUUUCAGCUUCUUAUGGAAUCUCUACCAUAUGCUAAGCCUGUGCCAGGCAAAAGGGGGUGGUGUGGCAUGGAGAUUAGUCAUAGAGAAGUUCUGUCCCCCAGGAUCACCAAAGGACCCAUCUUCCUCUGAUAGAGCCCUCUGCCGACUUAGUUGAUCUUCGCUCUUGGCAAAGCCACAUGUACGGUAGCCCAGGUCCUUUUGAAAGGUAGUGUUUGUGGCAAGAAUUAAAGCAAUAACACCCUACUUUGGAGGUACAAGCUCAAGGUGGUGAGGGUGAUGGCAGGAAGAGGCAAGUGAAUCAAGGAAAGAUGGAAGCAAUGCAAUGCCACCUGCCCCUCUGCUAGCCAGAGGUUUAUGUGAACCUUGCAGUGACACAUUAGUUCCUCAACAGGCACAGCCGCUUGGCGUACUGGGCUGCGUGGGAAGGUUGGUGAGGAAAAAACACGCUUUGAAGUAAUCCACAUUGGGAAGAAAAGAGGAUAUUUAUCUGUCCAAUUACUUUCCAGUUCCAUUUCUCACUGGUCAAGGUUAUAUCCAGAGGAAAUCAUAGCCCCUGGUGGAUGCUCAGUAAGCCAGAUCCCAUGCUCAUGAUACUGUGCUUCAUGCGAGUGGAAAAGUGGGGGAAAGCUUGGCACAAGUGGGCUCCAGCCCACAGAAAGAGAGAAAGAGACAGCCGGGAGCGUCUCAGAAGGCACACAGGUGUUUGGUCCUAUUCCCUGACCUUCUCCUACUCCAGGUUAGGAGAGCUUGGAAUCCAGUGGAGUGUGGGGGUGAAUAUGGCUCCACUUCUAAAUCCCUUCCUUCAUCUCCAUCCACUGGAAGCGAUUGCAUCCUGCUGACAGGUUCCUCAGCUCUGAAGCCUCAUCCAAGGGCUUAACAGGAACAGAGUGACUGCCGUGGCUCCACCUCAACCUCUCCUGCAGACCGAUCCAGCCUUAUCCUUUCCACAAUCCCUUACGAGAGGCCUGGAUUCUUAUUAAGAAACACUAUGGAUUUUUAGAGUAAAAAUGUCUAUAGAGAGACUUCAGAAACAGUCUGGGGAGAUUAUAAAGAAAUGUGGGCCAGUUGUCCAAGGAGAUUUUAUAGAAUAUUCAAUAGCACUCAUGUCAUAAAAGGCCUGUGGAGGUUUGCAUAGCUGAGGCUGGCCCUGAAUUAUGAUUCCCUGAUGCAGAGCCCAGCAAAAGCUCACAGCAUCCCAGACUAGGGCUUGAUGCUGCUGUGCUUGUAAAAAUAGAGCCACCUCACCUCACUCAAAUGCAGUGGGGAUAUUAAUUUCCAGGGCUGGAGUUCAAUUUCAUAGAAAGACAGAGUGGAAAAUAGAGCUGUCUUUUCAAUCCCAGUGGUCAUAAUAGAACCCCACCCUGCACCUCUCUGGAAACUGUCUCCCAGCCAGCUCCCAGACACACUGAAACGUACCUUGUGCUUUGCUUUCAAUGAUAACUGGAGCUGGGUAGCCACAGGGACAGCAAUUACUGUCCACAGAUGAGGAACCUGAGGCAUUUGGAGGUUAAUCUACUCUCUCACAGGCACAGAGCGAGGCAGAGGAUGUGCCAGUUUGAAAGUCCUCCUCCUGAGUGGGAGCAGACGACCACAGUUACAUUCCACUUUUAUGGAAGAAGGAGAGUUAUGAAGGUGCAGGCCUACUGUGUGCUAGGCCCUGCAUGAAGUGCUUGACAUUCACACUCAUUCAGUUUUACAGUGAACCUGACAGGUCAAUAUUUUCUCCAUUUAUUAGGAAACUGAGAUUCAGUGAGACAAGGACAUUUGUUCAAAUAAAUCUCGUAACUCUGAAGAGGCCUGGAUCUGAGAAGAAUGGGUGCCAGGUAGUCUGACUGGGCUAGUUUUGCCCCAUCAUGGCCCUGUGACAUCCGUUCUGCCUCCCAGCUAGACUGGACUCCCCCAGACCAGGAACUGUGUCCUGGCUCUUCCUAGCACCCAGCUCAGGGAGGGCUAUCAAGGCUGCUGAAAGCAGCUCAGUGAAUGUCAGUCUCUGAGCAGAUGGGAAGAACUGAGGAUGAAUUUGUCCACUUAAAUGGGAAUGGAAGCUUAAGAAUCAAGAUAUUUGAAGAUAAGGGAAACUGAGGUACAGAGGAGGGGAAGAGCCAUGAUUGACUUCAUGCAACUCAUCAGGGAGGGCACCCAGAUUUACACGUGGAUCUGUGUCACUACAAAGCAGUGCCCUUGACUUAACACUCCAUCACUUUCCAUACAAGCUUCAAACUGAACUCCACCUUCAUUAGCUUGGUGAGCGCAGACCGCUGAACUCUUCUAACAUCUGUCUUAGAGGUUAUGUGUUGGCUGCUGCGUUCAGAGCUAUCCUAAAAGUAACUGAAACAAGGGAUUUUUGACUCCAUGGCUAAACAGUUUCUGGGGAGCAGACCUUGAUUCUACCAUUACUUAGAAAACAAAUCAAAUUAGAGUCAGACUAGUGAUGUUGUCAGAACUUUUCAAACAUAAAGACCCAUGAAUGGACAUGUACACUUGGGAUCAAAAGCACUCUCCUCUUCCAAACAGCAGUCUACACUUGGCCUUUUGAGAGGCUGAGCUAUUGCCAAGGACUAUUUAGAUGGAAGAUUUGAUUGUUGGUCAAGGAGACACUGAAGAAGAGAUAAGAUGGUGUACUGGAAUGGAAGGAAGGCUCUGGACAUCAGAACUUUGGGCCACUGUACUGCUGUGUAAAUUUGCGAAACCUACUUAAUCCUUAUGGACUGUUUCCUCAUCUGGAAAAUGAGUUAAAUGAGAUCCAUUUUAUAAAAUUGUUGUAAUGAUUAUAUAAGUAAACACAUAGUAAUAUUAUUUGAUUUUAUUAUUAUUAUUAUGACUUGUCACUCAAAGCAUUUAGCUUUGGUGUCUCUAAUAUUCAGUACUCACAUUUAUGUUCAAAUUUGGAUGCUAGGUAGAAAUGAAGACUUUGUAUCUGCCACCAGAGAAGGCUAUUUAUUAUUUGUCAUUGCCUGUCACGAACUCACAAAGAUAGUAUUUGCCUAUCCAAAGGUAUCUAAUUCCUCAGUUUCUUAUGUGACUAUAAAGGGGCCUACUUUGAUCUUACCAUGAACUCAAAUCCUUUCGAAAUUUCAAUUUGUCAGUUUUGAUAUUUGCUUCUCUCUCUUUUCUACUCCUCUUAUCCAGGAAAGGAGGCACAUUGUAGUUUUUGACUUAAUAAUGGGACCUAUAUUAAUAGUAAAGAAAGUUCAGAAGCCAAGAGAAAACCUGUGAAAUGAUAAAAAAAGGUAGAUGGAUAUAUUUUUUUAAAAUGUUCUGCCAAACACCUUUGAAUUGGCACCAUUGGGAAUACCUUUCAACAUGUAGGUUUAAGAAAACAUUUAGCUUUAUAAAGCCGCAGAGAAAAUCUUGUGAUAAAAUUAGUCAGAGUUGAGUAGAAAUGGAUUAAAGAAGGAACCAAAGAAUUUAACUCAUCAGCGAGAGGGGAUAAAACCAGGUCCUCGACCUGGAAUUCCCACAGGGUCAGGGCUCUCCCCAGUGUUUUUUCACUGCUGGUUCCACAGAUGACAGAGGGGAUGGGUGGAGAGAUAUGUUAUCCUAGACUGGUCACUUGUGCAAGCAGACCACAAUUGGGAGGAGGUCCACUAGUAUUUGAGGAAAACUAUUUAGAAGUGGGCAUCUUCUAAAUAGUUGGGAAUUAUUGAAAAGCAUUAGCCCAUUAGUUGUGAGAUAGAUGGAAGAUCAUGAAUCAGAGCGAUAUUAGAGUUUUCCUUUAUCUGGAGCUGGAUAGCCCUAAAAUAGCCAGGGAGGUGGUGUAGAUGGCCACAGUGGAUAGUGCACUGUGAGGCUUCCUGCUGGCUGUAGUUGUCCAAGGAAGAUGGACCCAUUAUGGGCAUGGGCUUCUCAAAAGGCUUGUCAUGGUCAAAAUGCUUCUGAGUUAUUGGAAAAACAAUGGUGUUCAAGGGCUGGGCCAUCAUUUGGAUCUUUCCUUGAGGUCACUAACCCUGUAAUGAAGAAGCACCUUGUCACUGGACACAAUGCUGGUUCCUGGCUGCUGGGGAUGUUCUAACUCUGGUGGAGAGCUAACAACAACAUGAGUCACCUUACACUUACCUGCUGUGCCUUUCGCUUAAGACUGUUUCUGUCACCGGGUGUCAUGGACAGCAGUUGGCUCCUAAUGUGACAGGCUGGCUUCAGGGAACCAACUCUCCAUUACUCUGUGCUACAGAAUACAUGCAGACCCAAGGAAGAUGCUUGUCUGCCUGUCUGGUCCAUCCAGGGCCAUGACCUUCAAAUACACUCUAACCCCUGAGCCCUGUCUUCCUUCCUAACAUUUGCUGGUGAAAGGUCUGGCCUCAGCAU